UGCUCUAUCUAUCACGUUUGUAAAUACAUUUGUCUUUGAACCAGUGGUUGUGCUUCCAGGAAUUGAUCAAUGCACAGACAAGAGGUUCCUGUGAAGUAGCAAAUGGUUGGAAAUGAUCCACAAGGCCAUCAGCAGGGGAGAGAUUAAGAAAAUUAUGGCUCUAAAAGGAAAUGCUCUGCAGUCAGUGAGUGGAAUAAAGUAGGUCUGCAUGUGGAGUAAGCAGGGAAGGAAAAAAGCACCCAGUAUGCUGCCCUCUGCAUUCAACACAAGGAUGGAGAACGAAACCAGAGUGACAGCAAAGGGAUGGGCAGAGUUCCUAUCUGUCUCCUGUGCUCACAGACCUGGCCCUGCAGUGAUGGGAGAUGGAGAUCGAGCCUGCCUCCGCCCUCUGGUGGCUGCUCUGGAUGGGGCAGAGCAGGUAGGCGGGUGAUCCAGGUAAGGCGGCAGGUGUGCAGGGAGAUGCGUGGGGGGAUUGCAGAGAGGCUCGGGCAGGAAAUGCUCUUUGAGAAUGUCCAGACAGCACGGUGACAUCUGGAAAGCGAGGGGGUGUGGAAAGACACUUGCCAACACCUUUUCUCGCUUACCAGCUUUUGGGUUGCCAGCAGUGAUGAAGGUGCUUGCAAAGAUCAGUUUUCUUCAGUUUCAUCUCAGAACAUAGGAACUAGUGGAUUUCCUUUUCUCCUCACAGAUGAGAAUUGCUGAUGAGAAAAGGCCUAAGUCCUCCCAUUUCCAGACUCUGCUGAGGACUGGUUUAAAUAUCAGACGGCCUCUUCAAACACCAACAGGUCAGAAGGGCAUAAACCCUCAUUCAUUCCUGAAGAAGAGCUGAAAGCUUGGGCACAACUUCACAGCAAACCUGCCGGCAUGUGGUUGUCCGCCAACCAUGCUUGAAGUUCGCUGGUUUUGCUCACGUAUACAUUGGGACAAAGCAUUUCUGAAGGAGGGGCCGCUGUGUCUCAAUAACAUCCAUCGCUACCUUUUUGGGGGGGAUGGUGGGGAGUGAUUGGGACCCUCUUUAAAUAGACCCCCGUGGCUACUUAGGCAAAGUGUGAUGCCCUUGCAGCUCUGUGGAGUCAGAAGCCCACUCACCAGACUUUGAAAGGGUCUUGCUUUUCAAAAGGUCACACGUUGCUUAUUACACAGAGGCAGGGAGAUGGUGCUGCACAGGUAAGUGCCAUGCCCCGCAGAAAACGCUGUGCUGAAAAUCUCCACCUCUACAGAAAAGGCAAAGAACUUGUUCUCAGUUAAAAGGCUGCAGAUACACAAAGCGCAACUCCAGCUCCUGUUGUGUUUAUGGACAAUGGCUUAUUCCACCAAAGACCAAGGAAGACAUGAUGACUGGAGAGGGAUGGUGUUACAUCAAAAGGAGAGAGACACGGGGCUCUUCAGGACUUAACUGAAGUAGUUAAAAGAUAGGAGUAAAUAAGGGGGUUCCUUCCCUAUUCUUCACAUUGUAUCCCUCUGGCAAAAGUGGGAAAUUCAAGAUUUCCAAGGCAGUCAGAGGUCUAAAAGGACGCUAGCCAUGGUGAUUUGCACAGCAGUUCCUUCAUUCUG
ensembl:lincRNA